UACGUAGGAUGCAAGCGUUGUCCGGAUUUACUGGGAGUAAAGCGCGCGCAGGCGGCAAGGUAAGUAAGGUGUGAAAUCUGUCGGCUCAACCGGGAGGGUGCACUUUAGACUGCUUUGCUUGAGGUCGGUAGAGGGGGGUGGAAUUGCUGGUGUAGCGGUGAAAUGCGCAGAUAUCGGGAAGAACACCCGUGGCGAAGGCGGUUCUCUGGGACGGUACUGACGCUGAGACGCGAAAGCGUGGGGAGCGAACAGG
rnacentral:rRNA from 1 species